rnacentral:rRNA from 2 species
UACGCUUCUAUGGGAGCUUGCUCCUGAUGUUAGCGGCGGACGGGUGAGUAACACGUGGGUAACCUGCCUGUAAGACUGGGAUAACUCCGGGAAACCGGGGCUAAUACCGGAUGGUUGUUUGAACCGCAUGGUUCAAACAUAAAAGGUGGCUUCGGCUACCACUUACAGAUGGACCCGCGGCGCAUUAGCUAGUUGGUGAGGUAACGGCUCACCAAGGCAACGAUGCGUAGCCGACCUGAGAGGGUGAUCGGCCACACUGGGACUGAGACACGGCCCAGACUCCUACGGGAGGCAGCAGUAGGGAAUCUUCCGCAAUGGACGAAAGUCUGACGGAGCAACGCCGCGUGAGUGAUGAAGGUUUUCGGAUCGUAAAGCUCUGUUGUUAGGGAAGAACAAGUACCGUUCGAAUAGGGCGGUACCUUGACGGUACCUAACCAGAAAGCCACGGCUAACUACGUGCCAGCAGCCGCGGUAAUACGUAGGUGGCAAGCGUUGUCCGGAAUUAUUGGGCGUAAAGGGCUCGCAGGCGGUUUCUUAAGUCUGAUGUGAAAGCCCCCGGCUCAACCGGGGAGGGUCAUUGGAAACUGGGGAACUUGAGUGCAGAAGAGGAGAGUGGAAUUCCACGUGUAGCGGUGAAAUGCGUAGAGAUGUGGAGGAACACCAGUGGCGAAGGCGACUCUCUGGUCUGUAACUGACGCUGAGGAGCGAAAGCGUGGGGAGCGACAGAUUAGAUACCCUGUUAGUCCACGCCGUAACGAUGAGUGCUAGGUGUAAGGGGUUUCAGCCCCU